CAAAAAAAACCUGUGACACAAUAAUUUUGAUUUUCUUUUCAAAGCUUUGUUUCUGAGAAAUUAGGAAAGACAAGUAUUUACAGAGGAAAAAAUAAUAGUUUUAAAAUAUUAAAGCCUCAGUUAAAACACAUAAAGAUAUAAUUAAAUAUUUUAUAAAAAUUGAAGUACUUCUUACUUGUAAACAAGUAACCCAGAAGAAAUUGCAGCAUGAAAAUACAGAGUUUGCACUUCUUAAUGAAGUUUCAGAGGCAAAAGUAUCUCAAGUUGUGUCAUUUGUGUGGCAUGGUCUGAAAUGAGAAAAUCCCCACCACUGUGAGACUGUUACAAAAAUAGCCAGCACUGGAAUGGGAGCAUCAACUGACUUCAGUAAAGGAGGGAAAUACUGGCAAGCUCAAACCUCAACCUCUAGCAGUGAUAUUCUUGUUUCAAGACUUGGAGGUCUACACACAUAUCCACCUAUUUCUGUCAGAGUCUACCCUUGCUGCAAUCUAUCCCUGGGCAGAGAGCCAGUGCAAAAUCUCUCCAGCACAGAAUCCCCACUUGAGCCAUGGGUUUAACUGGAACAUAAUGAAGGGAGUGGCUGAAAAUAACCUGCCCUUACAAGGCAAUCACAUUUCAGGAUUCCCAGGCCACAGGGAAAAAGCAUCUGUAAACAGCAGGGUCUCUGGGUCCUGCCUUUCCCAUCACCUUCUUCUCCUUGGAAAAGGAAACCUCGAGAAACUUCUGUGAAAGCAGCAGUCCCAAUGUGGGAAAGAGAACUUUCAGUGGCUUUGUUCUCCCUUGAACUGCCCCUCAGUGGCUAUGCCAGCUGUAGGCAAGCAGUGGAGCUCACUUUUUCCCAGUUCUGUACAAUGUGAGAGCAGGGGAGUGUGUGCUCCAGGAGCCUCUUUGCAGACGGGGCAAAUGUUAAAAAUGCUGUUGAAUUUGGAAGAGUUUAAGAGAAAACAUCUUCAAAUACGGAGAAGAUUUCAUGGAAAGAAAAGACCAAGAGGAAGCAGGGUUAUUCAUGGACCUAUGAAUGGAUAUCAGAUAAAAGAAAAAUCAGUCUCAUCAACCCACUGGGAAGACCAGGAAGUAAUAAAAUAAAGCA